AACUGACGCCCUUCUCCGAAAUUGUUGACCUUCACUUAAAAUAUGAAUCCAUUAUUAUUAUUAUUAUUAUUAUUAUUAUUAUUAUAACUACACAAAUU